AGUCGAGAAGAGAGUUCAAGAAGUUACUAAACUGCUCAGUAAGGCAAACGGGUGGGCCCACGAAAUCCACUUUGCGAGGGGAUUCAGUCGGAUAGGUGAAGGGACUGGAGGCUCGGUCGAGGCGCCCGGUGCCCCCGGAUCGAACCCGGAUCGUCCGACGCACUUCCCUCUCGCACUGAGGACGCUGCAGCCGGUUCGGUCACCCAAGAGUCGGCCGUGAGGACUUGCGACGGCAGGUGACCAGAUUCCCGGCUAGCCCGUGGUUUUCUGGUUGUUAGCCGGCUCGUCCGUGGCGCGACACCGGACCGAGGAGUGAAGGAACCCUUGUCGGUCCUGCCGUGUCCUCGCCUUCCGAGCGGAGAGGCGCGUCGGGGGCUGUGUGGUCCCGAGGGGUGCCACGGUCGACCGUGGCCCCCUCCUUCCCCCCCUCUUUGGGCGUGCCUCCACCGCGGCUAUGCGUCGUGGCUGGCAGCGAAUAUGUCGGUCACCCACCCCACCCGUCUUGAAACACGGACCAGGGACUCUAACGUGUGCGCGAGUCACAGACUCUUGAACAGGCUCUCGGGCGCAAUGAAAGUGAAGGUCGUCUUUACCUCGGCCGUGUUGGGAAGUCUCGCCUCGAGCGGGACCGCACCAACCACCCGUCUCGUCCGAUUUAUCGGUGGGGCGGACUCAGAGCGUACACUUUGGGACCCGAAAUAUGGUGAACUAUGCCUGGGCGGGACAAACCCGGAGGAAACUCUGGUGGAUGUCCGCAGCGGUUCUGACGUGCAUAUCUAUCGUCACACCUGGU
rnacentral:rRNA from 1 species